GAGAGAAAAUUUCAUAGUCUGAUUUGUGCCCUGCACAGCACCUCAUAUCCGUGUACUCUACUAUCAUAUGGGUAUAAGGGAAUACUGUCUGAAUUCUGUAUGAAUUAUUCAAUGCUCUUACUCUGUAAGUCACUCUGGAAAAAGUUGUACGCUAAGUGGCAAAAUGUAAUGUAAAUUUGCAACAAUUUACUGUGGUUUCUGAGAGGAGUAAAGAAGGGGGCAUCAGUAAGCUAUGUUGCAUAUACAUAUAAAUACAUUCAAAAUAUACUUCAAAUGUACUAUACUUCUAAAUAUACUAUGCAUAAAUAAUAAAUAUAUAAAGGUCACAAUAACCAAAAACCUUUGCCCUGUAUUCUGAGAUGCAUAUGAGUAUGUUGAACAUUGAAUGAGCAGUUACAUGAACAGCAGCACACAAUAUUUCAACCAACAAAAGUAAAACAUCCACUUUAAUGAAUACUUCCCUGAAUACAUAAGUGUGUUAGGUAUAGGUUUACCCUCAGCUACUAGAGGUCACUCAAAAUGGCAAUACUAUAAUCCUGGUAGCUAGGGUAACAGCUGCAAAGCAUUGCAGAGGUAUUUAUCUAGUAGGGUGGGAUUGGUGUGAGUAUUGGUGAGUAUUCUGAAACCAGCACAAAACUUUAAAAUGAUGACAACUGAUCUAUUAAGAUCAUCUGCAUGUUCCCACACCUUCUGCGCAUGGAAUUACACCGAAACUAAUGGUGUAGUGUCCAACUCGUUGUUGGUAAAAUUAAGGGUAAAUAUAUUUGUAAAAUAUUAUACAAUAUAUAUAUACCUGUAUAUAUUGCAAAACCAAAUGUCCCUUAGAACCACCCUCCAUUCUCAUUAUCAAGAAAACUGAUAAAAGAUGAAACCAGAUAUAGUGAUCAGAAACUGAGCCAGAAUCCUUCCAAUACUGAUGUUAUUAAUGUACAUCACUUCUCAUAUCUCAUAUCUCAUACCAGUCACUGAGCACGUAGCAUUUAAAAUGUUUAUGAAAAAAAUGCAGUUUAGCCAAGUGCCUGCAUACCAGUCAACAUGGCAGGAGAAAGAAGGCUGUUUUCCACAGAUGAACAUGAAAAAUACAUUUCUCCUAUUUGCACGGAAGUUUCCAGCAGGUAGUUAUUUUAUUUGCCUACCAGACAUUGAACUCAUGCAAGAAAAAUGAAGUUACAAAUACUGAACAGCAACAGGCUUUUCAAACCACAGAACUCUCAAAGUAUGCCAGAACUCUCAAAGUAUGCCAAAACUAUCUAAUGGUUAGUCAGUUGGUUAACAGCUGUGGGAGCUUUUUAUGAGUGCAGGUAUUUCCUUGAGUAGAUUGUAUCAUGAUUGCGACUCGGUCUCUCUGAUGCAGUCUGUUGUUUUUUUAGCUUAGGAUUGUUGUCUUUCCUUUUUCAACCUUGUCAAUAACUGAGCUCAUCAAUCAGUUUCAUCUGAACAUGUUAAUUGGCAAUGAUAAUUAAACCAUUUAAACAAUGUGUGUAAUUUACUUGCGGACAACCGGCCAUUGGUAAAUGAGCCACCCCUUCCUGAUGAAAAGCAUAAUAAUAAUAUUAAUAACAUAUUUUUAAACACAGGUUUGUGUGUCUGGUUUGUGUGUCUGGAAAGCUGGAGGCUCAUUAUUUUUCUCAGAUCGCUGUGUGUCCAGGCUGGUUCCUUUUGUUUGUUGUUUUUAAAAUAAAUUAUUGGGUUCUUGAACAUUUGUUCUCUCUGUUAAUUUUGUUGGAAGUGUUGGCCGCCCUCUCCACAAAGUUCAUCAAUACAGUAACUCAGAGUGGCAGUCAUACAUUGGGCAUAGUCUAGUAAAGCUUUUCCACAUGCACACAUUCUUUGGAAGGAAGCCCAUGUACUAAAGUAGGUAUCACUGUGUCUGGUGUUGUUGUUAUGUUUCGGUAGCCCAGUAAAGAUAGAAUGCAUGUAUGUCCCACAGUCAGUCAAAACCACACUCAAAAACAUUUGCAUUUGAAGUGGUAAUUGUGGUAAGGUCAUACUACUAAUUAUCAAGUGUAUGAAAAGAAUGUUGAAAGGAAAUGAACAUGUCUGAUGGGGAUUAUUCUGAAGUAGACAUAUUAAUAACGUAGAAUGUAGAAUUAACAUAGAAUGACACUGGCUAAAACCAUAAUUCAUAAACAGAUGUACUGUAUUUUGAUUCACAGUUGAACCUUGCAGUGACGAGAUCGACUUUCAAGGAUAGUGACUGCUCAAAGGUUCUGCUCAACAGAGAAUGCAGGCACUAUGACAAAUCAUAUACUAUUAUAGAGUGUCUUAAUAUGGGAUGCACACGACUGAUUAUCAAAACUGUCUGGUUAAGAUAACAGCUCUUGGAAGGAUUGCUUUAGAGGAACACCCACAUUGUUGAGUCUCAGGUCCUCAGGAUCAAAACAACUGCAUGAACUCAUUUGAGACACGCCUCUCAGUAUCAGUUUGUAUAUAGAUAUGGGUCCAGACCUGCAUCCGUUACUCUUUGUUGGACAGAAGAACCGAACAAGAUGAAGCUGCUGAUCUCACUCGCUGUCGUGUGCGCGCUGUUCUACAAAGCGUUCCCACUCCAGUGCAAUGUGUGCACACUCAGUUCUAUACCAUGCACGACAACCCGGAUAACAUGUCCAGGCAACCUAACCAGAUGUGCAAGUGCGACUGUGCUUUCCACUGCGGUUGGAAGCCAGACUACACUGGAACUGAAGACAUGUGCAACACCUAAUUUAUGCGUCAGUGGAUCAGUGAACUUUGGGAGCAGGUUAAGGGCAACUGUGAACACUUUAUGCUGUGACACUGACCUCUGCAACACUCAGACCCCCCCAGGUAA